rnacentral:tRNA from 18 species
GCGUGAUUAGCUCAGCGGUAGAGCACUGCCUUCACACGGCAGGGGUCACAUGUUCGAUCCAUGUAUCACGCACCA